AUUCUUCCAGCCCCAGAAGAACAUGGCCAGCCAAUGUGGGGGCACCGCUUGGUCCAGUGUGGUGGCUGCCUGCUCCAGCCUGCCCCACGGUGUCCCGGGACAAGCCAAGGGAUCCCCUCACUGGGGCAGUGAGCACCCUCCUGUGCUUAGCUGCGGGCACUGCACGGGGGAAGCAGUGGCCAUUCCUGCAUACCUCUGGAACAUUUGGGGCAGCCUGAGGAUAACCCUGUCUGGAGGACAACACUGAACAUACAGCCAUACCACUUUAAUAUCA